rnacentral:tRNA from 1 species
GCCAGCGUGGCUCAGUGGUUGAGCAUCGACCUAUGAACCAGGAGGUCGGGGUUCGAUUCCCCAUGAGGGCA